GCGUUUUGUUUGUUUCUUACUUUACCCCGGCGCCAGCACCCAGCACCCAGCAGCCGCCACGUAGGUCAGUUGUCUGUGGUGGCCGCUUCCGCCAGGGUGAGUGUGGUGUAGCGGCCGUGCGACAUGGCCCAUGCUGGUUGCCUGCUGUGCCUUGCUGUGGGUGGUCUACUGUGUGCGUGUGUGUGUGUGUGUUAACACGUUGGGCCAGGCGCUGAGCUUGCGGGGAAGCUGUGUACCAUGCCUGUGUGAUGUGCCCAGGACUGUGGGCUAUUUACCGCUGGUUGGUCAAUAUUCAGGACACCCAGCUAACAUAGCUCACGCGGCCACAGCCUUACCACUUCCUGCACACGGAGAAUCUUUUCCCUCACAACACCGCCGCCAUUUUUAGCCAGCCAGGUCUCCAUCUCGUGGCGACCAUAAUGCAUGGCCAAUUGCAGCGGGGUGUGUCCAUCCUUCGAUUGCACGUUUCCCAUCACCACAACGACAACCACCACUACCACCACCACCAGCACAGCCUCACCUGUACUAUUCGUGGCCAGAGGGUUACCGCCGAGGUCCAGCAAUGCCUUCACUGUUUGGGUGUGACCACACAUGGCAGCCAAC